UACGUUAGCGGCGGACGGGUGAGUAACACGUGGGUAACCUACCUAUAAGACUGGGAUAACUUCGGGAAACCGGAGCUAAUACCGGAUAAUAUUUCGAACCGCAUGGUUCGAUAGUGAAAGAUGGUUUUGCUAUCACUUAUAGAUGGACCCGCGCCGUAUUAGCUAGUUGGUAAGGUAACGGCUUACCAAGGCGACGAUACGUAGCCGACCUGAGAGGGUGAUCGGCCACACUGGAACUGAGACACGGUCCAGACUCCUACGGGAGGCAGCAGGC
rnacentral:rRNA from 1 species